CCUACGGGAGGCUGCAGUAAGGAAUCUUCCACAAUGGGGGCAACCCUGAUGGAGCAACGCCGCGUGCAGGAUGAAGGUUUUCGGAUCGUAAACUGCUUUUAUAAGUGAAGAAUAUGACGGUAACUUAUGAAUAAGGAUCGGCUAACUACGUGCCAGCAGCCGCGGUCAUACGUAGGAUCCGAGCGUUAUCCGGAGUGACUGGGCGUAAAGAGUUGCGUAGGUGGCUAGUAAAGUGAAUAGUGAAAUCUGGUGGCUCAACCAUCAAUCCAUUAUUCAAACUCACUAGCUCGAGAACAGCAGAGGUAACUGGAAUUUCUGAAGUAGGGGUAAUAUCCGUAGAUAUCAGAAGGAACACCAAUGGCGUAGGCAGGUUACUGGGCUGUUUCUGACACUGAGGCACGAAAGCGUGGGGAGCGAACCGGAUUAGAUACCCCUGUAGUC
rnacentral:rRNA from 1 species